GUGUUUCGUAACGAGAGAUGGUUGGUAUCUAAUCUAACAGGGACGAGAAAGAGCUUUCGAGCUUACCCUUUACCACGCAUGCGGUUAAGGCUUUUCACUUCGGUGGAUCAUAGAACCCAAUUUUUUG